rnacentral:rRNA from 1 species
CGAUGAUCCCAGCUUGCUGGGGGAUUAGUGGCGAACGGGUGAGUAACACGUGAGUAACCUGCCCUUAACUCUGGGAUAAGCCUGGGAAACUGGGUCUAAUACCGGAUAUGACUCCUCAUCGCAUGGUGGGGGGUGGAAAGCUUUUUGUGGUUUUGGAUGGACUCGCGGCCUAUCAGCUUGUUGGUGAGGUAAUGGCUCACCAAGGCGACGACGGGUAGCCGGCCUGAGAGGGUGACCGGCCACACUGGGACUGAGACACGGCCCAGACUCCUACGGGAGGCAGCAGUGGGGAAUAUUGCACAAUGGGCGCAAGCCUGAUGCAGCGACGCCGCGUGAGGGAUGACGGCCUUCGGGUUGUAAACCUCUUUCAGUAGGGAAGAAGCGAAAGUGACGGUACCUGCAGAAGAAGCGCCGGCUAACUACGUGCCAGCAGCCGCGGUAAUACGUAGGGCGCAAGCGUUAUCCGGAAUUAUUGGGCGUAAAGAGCUCGUAGGCGGUUUGUCGCGUCUGCCGUGAAAGUCCGGGGCUCAACUCCGGAUCUGCGGUGGGUACGGGCAGACUAGAGUGAUGUAGGGGAGACUGGAAUUCCUGGUGUAGCGGUGAAAUGCGCAGAUAUCAGGAGGAACACCGAUGGCGAAGGCAGGUCUCUGGGCAUUAACUGACGCUGAGGAGCGAAAGCAUGGGGAGCGAACAGGAUUAGAUACCCUGGUAGUCCAUGCCGUAAACGUUGGGCACUAGGUGUGGGGGACAUUCCACGUUUUCCGCGCCGUAGCUAACGCAUUAAGUGCCCCGCCUGGGGAGUACGGCCGCAAGGCUAAAACUCAAAGGAAUUGACGGGGCCCGCACAAGCGGCGAGCAUGCGAUUAUUCGAUGCAACGCGAGAACUUACCAGCUGACAUGGCGACGGGCUGGAACAGUCUCCCUUUGGGCGUUCACAGUGGUGCAUGUUGUCGUCAGCUCUGUCCUUGAAUGUGUAAGUCCGACCAGGCAACCUCGUCAUGUGCAAGCGUAUGCCGGACUCAUGAAACUGCGGUUA